rnacentral:tmRNA from 1 species
GGGGAUGUAAGGGUUUCGACGGGGGUGUGGAGGCAGGAAUAGCGGGCGGAUGCGCCUACCAUCCAUAAAAUGGGCAGCUUUAUAAAUUAAAGAACAACGACAAACCUGUUCUUCUCGCUGCUUAAUUAGCGAGCGUCCCACCCGGGAGGACCACGGCCCGGGAUGGGGCGUCGACCAGUGGUGAACAUGAGCAUACAAAGCUUUGAGUAUGCCAUGUAUAAUGAAGCUACCGAACCCGGGAGAGUGACGGCUCCCGCCCGGGGGAGGGAAUACAAAUAACCGUCUGCGCCCGGAGAAGUUCCUGUUAAAGCGCUUUCGGACGGGGGUUCAACUCCCCCCAUCUCCACCA